rnacentral:rRNA from 1 species
AAUGAACGCUGGCGGCAGGCCUAACACAUGCAAGUCGAACGGAUCCUUCGGGAUUAGUGGCGGACGGGUGAGUAACGCGUGGGAACAUACCCUUUGGUACGGAAUAGCCUCGGGAAACUGGGAGUAAUACCGUAUGUGGUCGAGAGACGAAAGAUUUAUCGCCAUUGGAUGGGCCCGCGUCGGAUUAGCUAGUUGGUGGGGUAACGGCCUCCAAAGGCGACGAUCCGGAGCUGGUCUGAGAGGAUGAUCAGCCACACUGGGACUGAGACAAGGCCCAGACUCCUAGGGGAGGCAGCAGUGGGAAAUAUGGGACAAUGGGCGCAAGCCUGAUCCAGCCAUGCCGCGUGAGUGACGAAGGUCUUCGGAUUGUAAAGCUCUUUUGGCGGGGACGAUAAUGACGGUACCCGCAGAAUAAGCCCCGGCUAACUUCGUGCCAGCAGCCGCCGUAACAC